GCUUCUUGCGCAGCUAUAAUGCAGUCGACGGUAUAUAUCUUUCGGGAUAUAGAGAGUGGCGCACGGGUGCGUAACGCGUAUGCAACCUACCCAAUACAGGGGGAUAGCCCGGAGAAAUCUGGAUUAAUACCCCAUGGCACCUUGGAGGGGCAUUCCUUUAAGGUUAAAGAUUUAUCGGUAUUGGAUGGGCAUGCGUCUGAUUAGCUAGUUGGAGGUGUAACGGACCACCAAGGCGACGAUCAGUAGGGGUUCUGAGAGGAAGGUCCCCCACACUGGCACUGAGAUACGGGCCAGACUCCUACGGGAGGCAGCAGUAGGGAAUAUUGGGCAAUGGACGAGAGUCUGACCCAGCCAUGCCGCGUGCAGGAAGACGGCGUUCUGCGUUGUAAACUGCUUUUAUCUGGGAAGAAAAGGCCCAUGCGUGGGACAUUGCCGGUACCAGAUGAAUAAGCACCGGCUAACUCCGUGCCAGCAGCCGCGGUAAUACGGAGGGUGCAAGCGUUGUCCGGAUUUAUUGGGUUUAA
rnacentral:rRNA from 1 species